CCUACGGGAGGCUGCAGUGAGGAAUAUUGGUUAAUGGACGAGAGUCUGAACCAGCCAAGUAGCGUGAAGGAUGACUGCCCUAUGGGUUGUAAACUUCUUUUAUAUGGGAAUAAAAUGUUCCACGUGUGGGAUUUUGUAUGUACCAUAUGAAUAAGGAUCGGCUAACUCCGUGCCAGCAGCCGCGGUAAUACGGAGGAUCCGAGCGUUAUCCGGAUUUAUUGGGUUUAAAGGGAGCGUAGGUGGAUUGUUAAGUCAGUUGUGAAAGUUUGCGGCUCAACCGUAAAAUUGCAGUUGAAACUGGCAGUCUUGAGUACAGUAGAGGUGGGCGGAAUUCGUGGUGUAGCGGUGAAAUGCUUAGAUAUCACGAAGAACUCCGAUUGCGAAGGCAGUUCACUGGACUGCAACUGACACUGAGGCUCGAAAGUGUGGGUAUCAAACAGGAUUAGAUACCCGUGUAGUC
rnacentral:rRNA from 1 species